rnacentral:rRNA from 1 species
UACGGAGGGUGCUAGCGUUGUUCGGAAUUACUGGGCGUAAAGCGCGCGUAGGCGGCGCAGCAAGUUGGGAGUGAAAUCCCGAGGCUUAACCUCGGAACUGCUUUCAAAACUGCUGUGCUAGAGUAUGGUAGGGGACAGUGGAAUUCCUAGUGUAGAGGUGAAAUUCGUAGAUAUUAGGAGGAACACCAGAGGCGAAGGCGACUGUCUGGGCCAUUACUGACGCUAAGGCGCGAAAGCGUGGGGAGCAAACAGG